UGUGGGGUGGACUGGAGUCGGUUCCAGCUUGGUCUCAUAAGCCAAACCACGCGGGUUCGAGUCCCGCCCCCGCAA
rnacentral:tRNA from 1 species